rnacentral:lncRNA from 1 species
UUAAUUUUAAUGGCGAAACCAGCUAUUUACACCGAUAAUUGUUAAGCCGUCUUCAAGGUCAUAUUCGAUAUGCCCAGAAAACGAAGAUCACCCCCAGCACGAGCAACAAAAAAAUGUUCAAAAAUGCGUGUAUUGCAUCGAGAUUGCUUGAGAAUGGAGUAAUAAUGGCUUUUUAAAGUAUUUUUCAAUUACAGGAGCAAGGAAAUGGAGGCAAUUACUCUUGGAAGAUUUGAAACACCUCUUUUCAUGCGCUGCUGCUACAUUUCCAUAGAUCAAUCACUGUGGAGGUGGGGUCUUGUAAGCUUUUCGUGUGCUUGUAAAUCACACAAACAAAAACUUUACCAGCUCCAUAAUUAGAGUAAGAACCUCCAAUCACCCUCUUUCUUAUUCCAUAUCCCACCUGAUAGAAAUUUCGUUGUAAAAACAGAGGGAAGGCAUUGCCCCUCCCCUGUCAGCCAACCACCCAAGGCAAAAGAAGAAGAUAAAAAAGAAAAGAAAAGGUAUUUCUCUCUCUAGGCAUGGAUAAGACAUUUACACAGCCUUUUGUUGUUCUAGUUUCUAGAGAGAAGAUUCUUCCGGUAAUAUUUGCUACGGCAACCAACCUGACCGGAUGCCAGACGUGGCCGCCUCUCUCACAUGUUUCCUUUGCUUUUUAUUUUUUAUUAUUGUGAAAAAAACAAUAAUGAAGGGUUCUGAUGUGGCAUAAAAAGAACCCCCAAAUCACUCCGCAAGCGAAGAGGGGCCUCUCUCUC